UACGUAGGUGGCAAGCGUUGUCCGGAGUUAUUGGGCGUAAAGCGCGCGCAGGCGGUGCGGUAAGUCUCUGGUGAAAGCGCUCGGCUUAACUGGGCGAGGGCCGGGGAGACUGCCACGCUGGAGGGGAGCAGAGGCGAGUGGAAUUCCGGGUGUAGUGGUGAAAUGCGUAGAGAUCCGGAGGAACACCAGUGGCGAAGGCGGCUCGCUGGGCUCUACCUGACACUGAGGCGCGAAAGCGUGGGGAGCGAACCGG
rnacentral:rRNA from 1 species